UAACUGCGUGCAGACGUGUGAACUGCAGGACACAUGAACACCGACGUUUCGAACGCAAAUGGCGGUCUAAAGUAAAUUUUAGACCACGUCUGGCUGAGGGUCGGAUUUGAAAUAAAACUAAAGUUACUCAAACUAAUGGCUUACUAGUUUAUAUGUAGCCUGUUUGAUAAUAAAGUUUCAUCGCCGGGUUAAAAUAUAGCUCGGUUAGAAUUCUGGUAGCGCUGAACAAUGAAGCUAACUUGAUGUUAAAAUAAAUGUUAAAAGCGAUAAAUGUUUGCGCUAUUCAAAAAUUAUUAUAAAAACAAAUCAAACAUACGACCUCAGAGUAGGCGAGAUUACCCGCUAAAUUUAA
rnacentral:misc_RNA from 1 species